rfam:Triticum aestivum genome assembly, contig: Triticum_aestivum_CS42_TGACv1_scaffold_196481_3AL
UGAAUACUCUCUCCGUUCCUAAUUUUUUGUUUUAGAUUAGUCUAGAUACGGAUGUAUCUAAUACUAAAACGUGACUUGAUACAUUCGUAUUUAGACAAAUCUAAGACAAAAAUUUUAUGACGGAGAGAGUACUAA